rnacentral:misc_RNA from 1 species
UUUCCGUAGGUGAACCUGCGGAAGGAUCAUUGUCGAAACCUGCACAGCAGACCGACCCGUGGACACGUUCGAUUGAUGGGCGGGGGGAUGGCAUGCUAGCCCCCCGCCCGUGCCAGCCCGCACGUGGCACUGCCACCGUGCAUGGCCGGCUAACAAUGAACUCGGCGCGGACUGCGCCAAGGAAACUUAACGAAGGAGCAUGCGCCCGGGGGCCGCCGUAAGGACGUGCCCCGCGGGAUGCACCCCUGUGAUGUCAAAUACAAUGACUCUCGGCAACGGAUAUCUCGGCUCUCGCAUCGAUGAAGAACGCAGCGAAAUGCGAUACCUGGUGUGAAUUGCAGAAUCCCGUGAAUCAUCGAGUUUUUGAACGCAAGUUGCGCCCGAGGCCUCCUGGCCGAGGGCACGCCUGCCUGGGCGUCACGCGUUGCGUCGCCCCGCAUCCCUGCUCCCCUUCGGGACCGGGUUGAUCGAGGGCGGAUGUUGGCCUCCCGUGCGUCUUUGCGCGGUUGGUUUAAAAGAGGCAGUCCUUGUUGCACGGCACAUGGCGGUUGGUGGAUGACUCUGUCCCAUCGCCUCGCCGGUGUGAUGUUUCGGACCGCGAGACCCUCGGACAUCAAUGGCCGCUUAUGCCGGGCAUUGGUUCCCUAUGCGACCCC